rnacentral:rRNA from 1 species
GACGAACGCUGGCGGCGUGCCUAAUACAUGCAAGUUGAGCGCUGAAGGUUGGUACUUGUACCGACUGGAUGAGCAGCGAACGGGUGAGUAACGCGUGGGGAAUCUGCCUUUGAGCGGGGGACAACAUUUGGAAACGAAUGCUAAUACCGCAUAAAGACUUUAAACACAAGUUUUAAGUUUGAAAGAUGCAAUUGCAUCACUCAAAGAUGAUCCCGCGUUGUAUUAGCUAGUUGGUGAGGUAAAGGCUCACCAAGGCGAUGAUACAUAGCCGACCUGAGAGGGUGAUCGGCCACAUUGGGACGGAGACACGGCCCAAACUCCUACGGGAGGCAGCAGUAGGGAAUCUUCGGCAAUGGACGAAAGUCUGACCGAGCAACGCCGCGUGAGUGAAGAAGGUUUUCGGAUCGUAAAACUCUGUUGGUAGAGAAGAACGUUGGUGAGAGUGGAAAGCUCAUCAAGUGACGGUAACUACCCAGAAAGGGACGGCUAACUACGUGCCAGCAGCCGCCGUAA